CGAUGAUGGGAGCUAGCUUGCUAGAAGAAGUCAUGGCGGACGGGUGAGUAACGUGUAAAGAACUUACCAUAUAGACUGGGAUAACAGAGGGAAACUUCUGAUAAUACUGGAUAAGUUAGUAGUAGCAUUACUAAGUAAUGAAAGGUAGCAAUACGCUAUAUGAGAGCUUUGCAUCCUAUUAGCUAGUUGGUGGGGUAAAAGCCUACCAAGGCGAUGAUAGGUAGCCGGCCUGAGAGGGUGGACGGCCACAAGGGGACUGAGAUACGGCCCUUACUCCUACGGGAGGCAGCAGUGGGGAAUAUUGGACAAUGGAGGCAACUCUGAUCCAGCAAUUCUGUGUGUGUGAAGAAGGUUUUAGGACUGUAAAACACUUUUAGUAGGGAAGAAAGAAAUGACGGUACCUACAGAAGAAGCGACGGCUAAAUACGUGCCAGCAGCCGCGGUAAUACGUAUGUCGCGAGCGUUAUCCGGAAUUAUUGGGCUUAAAGGGCAUCUAGGCGGUUAAACAAGUUGAAGGUGAAAACCUGUGGCUCAACCAUAGGCUUGCCUACAAAACUGUAUAACUAGAGUACUGGAAAGGUGGGUGGAACUACACGAGUAGAGGUGAAAUUCGUAGAUAUGUGUAGGAAUGCCGAUGAUGAAGAUAACUCACUGGACAGCAACUGACGCUGAAGUGCGAAAGCUAGGGGAGCAAACAGGAUUAGAUACCCUGGUAGUCCUAGCUGUAAACGAUGAUCACUGGGUGUGGGGAUUCGAAGUCUCUGUGCCGAAGCAAAAGCGAUAAGUGAUCCGCCUGGGGAGUACGUUCGCAAGAAUGAAACUCAAAGGAAUUGACGGGGACCCGCACAAGUGGUG
rnacentral:rRNA from 1 species